rnacentral:rRNA from 1 species
AGUGAACGCUGGCGGCAUGCCUAACACAUGCAAGUCGAACGGCAGCACAGUAAUAGCUUGCUCUUACGGGUGGCGAGUGGCGGAUGGGUGAGGAAUACAUUGCAAUCUACUUUUUCGUGGGGGCUAACGUCGGGAAACUUACGCUAAUACCGCAUACGACUUACGGGUGAAAGCAGGGGAUUUUCGGACCUUGCGCGAUUACAUGCGCCUAGGUCGGUUUAGCGAGUUGGCGGGGUAAAGGCCAACUAAGGCGGGUAUCCGUAGCUGGUCUGUGAGGAGGAUCAGCCACACAGGAACUGAGACACGGUCCAGACUCCUACGGGAGGCAGCAGUGGGGAAUAUUGGACAAUGGGGGCAAGACUGAUCCAGCCAUACCGCGUGGGUGAAGAAGGCCUUCGGGUUGUAAAGCCCUUUUGUUGGGAAAGAAAAGCAGCGGGUUAAUCGCCCGCUGGUCUGACGGUAGCCAAUGAAUAAGCACCGGCUAACUACGUG